AGUGAACGCUGGCGGUAGGCCUAACACAUGCAAGUCGAACGGCAGCACAGUAAGAGCUUGCUCUUACGGGUGGCGAGUGGCGGACGGGGGAGGAAUACAUCGGAAUCUACUUUUUCGUGGGGGAUAACGUAGGGAAACUUACGCUAAUACCGCAUACGACCUACGGGUGAAAGCAGGGGAUCUUUGGACCUUGCGCGAUUGAAUGGGCCGAUGUCGGAUUAGCUAGUUGGCGGGGUAAAGGCCCACCAAGGCGACGAUCCGUAGCUGGUCUGAGAGGAUGAUCAGCCACACUGGAACUGAGACACGGUCCAGACUCCUACGGGAGGCAGCAGUGGGGAAUAUUGGACAAUGGGCGCAAGCCUGAUCCAGCCAUACCGCGUGGGUGAAGAAGGCCUUCGGGUUGUAAAGCCCUUUUGUUGGGAAAGAAAAGCAGCAGGUUAAUACCCCGCUGUUCUGACGGUACCCAAAGAAUAAGCACCGGCUAACUUCGUG
rnacentral:rRNA from 1 species